UUUAGUGUUGCCUCUCCCGCUUCUCUGCAGCGCCGGGUAAUAAAAGCCAGCGGCCAGAGUCUGGGGCUGGACUAGAGUUUGCAACACACAGGCGGGGAGGGAGGGAGGGUGCGGGGGGGAUUCCCUAUGUCAGCGGAGCUUUCUGAAAUCGGAACCGUGCAGCAAGGGGAGUCUCCGCUGCAUACUUUUAACCCCCUCCUCUCUGUUUCAUCUGUGUCUGAGAGUCGCUGCCGUUCCGCGGCGUGUGUGAGAUGGCUGCGUUUUUUUUAUUGCAAAGGGAUUGAAUUAUUUUUCAGGGGUCCCAGGACACCAGGUUUCGCCUCAACAUGGAAAUUCCACGUGUUGGCCAUAACUCUGCAACAUGCAUUCUGCUGAAGUGUGGCGAUCACAGUAGAUCGCCCCUCCCCACACCCUCCCUCCCCUCCCCUCCCCUCCCCCCCAACUCAACAUUUAUACCAAAAAGACGGCGGAGAUCAUCUAUGAACAAAGUUUAAAGAAUGAGAAACGAGUCUGGGAUUAAAGGAGGAUUUGCAGGACAAUUUGCAGGAUAAUAUGAAGUGGAAAAAAUGGAUCGAGGACAACGUGGGAUGGCAGCGAUCCGCCAGGGAUGGCCCCAACGACUGCAAACUCUUUGAGAAAAGAGAGACGAGGAGCGCAAGAAGGGACAGUGGAACUCUUUAAAUUAAGAAAUAAAACCGGGCGCCACGCAGGUUGGGAAAAGUGACGGCGAGGGGUGAAUUUAAAAAAAAAAAGCGGGACUGUUCAAAUGCAAGGAGAGAAGCCAGCAGAGGAGUGGUCAUCGAUGGAGUCUUGCACACACCAGCGGUCUUUCUCAGCUGAGUCAGCCCGAAAGCAGUGGUCGUCUCAAUUGCAGCGCUUCUGUGCAAAGCAGAACAAAAGAGCACAUGGCAUAAUCAGGGAGGCUCAAAAGCUCCAGGCUAAGACUUGAUCAAAAGCAGAAUCUUGUCAAGACGGAAGUUGGUCAUCGUCCGCAUUCUAAAGAGCCCGAACAUCUUCAAAGCGAUUGACGUAAAAGUUAUUUUUGUGGAUUCUGACCAUUUUAGACAUGUUAGCCCAGGUCACUUGUUAGAGCUUGUUUUU